UGUAGAUGAUAGUGUAGCGUUUAGACGUUAAUAUCCAGUGUAAAUUAGGUAUAAAUCUAAGAGCGGUAUGGAAGGACAGGGAACGCCCGGUAAACGCGUUUACGAUCCAUGCGCGGGGUGGCGCGGGCGCGUGCCGACGCACGAGAGAGACACGCGCCCACGCACCUCGGAGAGGAUAUACAGGUUGAACGUGUUACAUGUAAAUUAUAAAGAUACAAGACACUAUUUAGCUAGCUAUCUGAAUUCGACUUUGUGUGUGUGUGUGUGUGUGGUGGGUGAUGGUGGUGGUCAUGCGUCGUGAUCAUUAACGUGGUAUCAACCGUCCCGUGUAAAUUAAUAUGAAACGGUCUUUGAACUCUGUCUCUCGCUCUCUCUCUCUCUCUCUCUCGAUUCGAAAAAAAAAUAAAAAUA